GUAUAAUACUUCAUAUGUUGCUCAGCUAUGUCGGCUGAGUACAGCAAUACCCCCGUAUGUACCUUUUCCAGGUAUGUGUGGACAUCGGAGGGGCACAUUUGGGACACAGCCAUUCCAGUUUUUUUCAGACUUUGAAUUUUUAUGCUGUGCCUAUGUCCCAUUUUAGAGUAUUUUACCAGGCUAUAUAAUCCAAAUUCCCCAUAAAGCCA